AGGGAGAGUGUGGGGAAGAAGAAGAACACGAUGGCGAUGGACGCAGAUCUGUCUCACAAUACUGGUAGUGUUGUAAAGUGGACUUCACCUAAUGCACCCGUGCGCUUGGUGAAGCCGACUUGCAGAAUGGUGACGCCUACCAAAACAAUGCCGGACUCGGCACGCAUCGUGAAUAUUUGUGUCAGACUAUUGAGUCAGUACGAUGUUUCAAAUAAAUAUGUAUUUUGUACAAAAUUUGCCUAGUUGUUCUGGAAUAUGGAAUAACGAGCGUCGGGCAUGAAAACCAGUACAAGUAAAAGCCGAUGGUAGCCAGUACCGGGCCGAAAGGCGAGCCAAACUGAGAGACUUCUGAUUGGCCGAAUGGUAGGCAUCAUAGUUCAUUUUCAUUGGUUGCAUGCCCAGUGUUGCCUUGAAUUAUCUCAAACUAUGGGCUCUAGUGGGGAGCUGUGGGAGCCUGCUCCUCGCUGGAUGUCCGUCGAUAUUCACCAGAUUGCAACAAAUGAAAGUCCACUUUUUCUCAGCCCAGGCAACAGCAGCACCAGGUGAAUGUACAAUUCGGAAGCAGGUGUUCCAAAAAUUGAUGCAGUGACAUAAACGGGCAGUCUGGUGUGUAAUGUACACACAUCGUGUGGCGUGUUCGGACUAUCUAAUUGUAUCACCAGUUCCACCUCAACACCGGAGCCGGUAAAUGUGCAUGGAGAGAAGAAAUGCACAAGGCAGCCAAGAGUCAUUUUACUAAAGGCACAGGGACAAAAAGAUAUAAAGAGAGGACACACCAAAGGAAAUGUUCCAUAGAAUCACGAGGUUCCGUCAUGCG